rnacentral:tRNA from 1 species
AGCAUUGUACUUUAAUUUAAAAGGUAAGAUUUGCGUUCUUAAAAUGGUAUUUAUAUCUAAUGCUG